CCUACGGGCGGCUGCAGUGGGGAAUAUUGCACAAUGGGGGAAACCCUGAUGCAGCGACGCCGCGUGAGUGAAGAAGUAUUUCGGUAUGUAAAGCUCUAUCAGCAGGGAAGAAAAUGACGGUACCUGAUUAAGAAGCCCCGGCUAACUACGUGCCAGCAGCCGCGGUAAUACGUAUGGAGCAAGCGUUAUCCGGAAUUACUGGGUGUAAAGGGAGCGUAGACGGAUGUGCAAGUCUGAUGUGAAAGGCGGGGGCUCAACCCCUGGACUGCAUUGGAAACUGUAAAUCUUGAGUGCCGGAGAGGUAGGCGGAAUUCCUAGUGUAGCGGUGAAAUGCGUAGAUAUUAGGAGGAACACCAGUGGCGAAGGCGGCUUACUGGACGGUAACUGACGUUGAGGCUCGAAAGCGUGGGGAGCAAACAGGAUUAGAUACCCUUGUAGUC
rnacentral:rRNA from 1 species